UCCGUCUAUAAUCAAACAUUGUUUGGUCAGGAUCUUCAGGAGUUCACUAUAACUGCUCUGACACACGAGCUCUAGCUCUGAUUGGUCAUGAAUCAGGUUUAUUUCUGAGUUCAGAAAGAACAAAAAUACACAGUUCUGAACAAAAGUAAGAAUAAUCAGCUGGAAUAUAUCCACACAAGCUCAUACAGAAGUGGUUUUGGAUACUGCAUAAUUACAUUUUCACCAAUAAUAGAUCAUGGUCCAAACCAGCAACGUUAGUCUUAAAUCUUUAAGGCAUUUCUGAUGUUAAUAAUUGUUAUAGAAACUCUGUCAUCAGUUCACAGCUGUGGAAUCACUUGAAUGUGUGGUGAAAAGAAAAGCUGACUAAAAUAACUCCUAACAGAGAAUAUACAGAGAUGGCAUAAAUGUAUUUCUUUAUUUAUUUUGUACUAAGACUUUAUAUUGAAUGAUUGUGUAUUUUCAGGAAGCACCACUGUAUCUGUGUCAGGAGAAAAUGGAGGAAACACAACACUUUUGUGUGAACUUGAGACCAGUGAGAUUUCUGAUAUGAUUUUAAUCAGUUGGUCAAAAAUCAUCCCUGUUUGUGAGACUGAAGACUGUAGAGGACGAGUGUUUAAACGAGGAAACUGUGACGUCGUUAUCAAGAAUCUGAGCUUCAGCGACGCUGGGAAAUACUUUAUGAGAGUCUAUUACCACAGUCAUCAGACAGAGCUGGAGCAACAAAUCAGGAUGUACCAACUUCAUAUUCAGGAUGAUGUUUCUGUGAAAACAGGUGAUGAGCUGGAGUUGGAUGUUCUGUUGUCAAACGCUGAUGAAGUGCAGCAUCAUAGCAGAAGAAGAUCUGGAGCAGAACUGAUGGAGUUCAGAGAGAACGGAUCUCCAUCAGAGAUAGAAACCUGAUCAUUAGUAAUUUCACAGACAGAGACGCAGGAACAUACAGAGUUCUGGACCCUGAAGGAAACAUCUUGAUCACAUUCACUGUCAGAGCUGUGAUUUAUUGGAUUAUGAGCGCUGGACUGCUUGUGUAUACAGCUCUGCUGGUUUCUGCUCUGGUCACGCUUACCAUCCAGAAAACACUGAUUUCUAAAAGCAGGACGUGUUUCACAGAACGGCGUCAAAGAGCAAUGAAUCUGAAAGAUGAUCUCAUGUAGCAACAUCACUGUAAGUUUGCCUUCAAUGCUUAAAGAUGAUUCUGUCAAUACAUGUAAUUAACUAUGCAUAUGAACAUUUGAACUGCUCUCGUGAGAAUGUUGAGUUUAUCUGAAAUUAAUUCAUUCUUGAAUGGGUUCUUUUAUUACGCAUUAAUGAGCUCAUUCAGUCUCGCUAUAAAGGGGCACUCUCUUCUCACUUUCAUACAUUUCUGUACAAUCCGUUCACAAUUUAAAUAUUUGUUUAAAUAGAGGCUCAGUGUCUAUGUACAAGUUGCUAAGUUACAUGACUGAAAAGUUUAUUAAUUAUUUGAGUGAAUCUUAAUAUAGCUUAAU